rnacentral:rRNA from 1 species
GAUAAACGCUGGCGGCGUGCCUAACACAUGCAAGUCGAACGCCCUUUUGCGCAAGUGAGAGGGAGUGGCGGACGGGUGAGUAGCACGUGGGUACCUACCCCAAGAUGAGGAAUACCACCGAGAAAUCGGUGACAAGACCGCAUACCUUCGGCCACGAAGAAAGCUUCUCCUCACGAGAGGCGUCUUGGGAUGGGCCUGCGCCUGAUUAGCUGGUUGGUGAGGUAACAGCNCACCAAGGCGACGAUCAGUAGCUGGUCUGAGAGGAUGAUCAGCCACACUGGGAUUGAGAACGGCCCAGACUCCGUACGGGGGGCAGCAGUGAGGUAAUUUUCGUCAAGUGGGGGCAACCCUGAACGAGCAACGCCGCGUGCAGGAUGACAC